AUUUUUUUUCUUUUUUUUGUACGAGUAGGAAACAGAGAAAGAGACGGGUGGGUCUUUGAAUGAGAAAUAAAUUGCUAAUCAAUGUUUUUAUUUAUUUUGGAGCUGGAUAAGAGGGGAGAAGUAGAACAAGAGAGAGGGAAACUGUGGUGAUGAUGAAAGGGAAACACAGAGACGGAAAUGUAAGGUUGGUCAGAGAAAGACAGAGUCUAAAAUGGAAAGGCAGCAUGUGAAGCAGGAGACAUGGAACUUGCUUUCCUGUUUCUUUCUUCUGUCUUUAUUAUUAGUGUAUUUAUUAAUUAAUGAUUUCUUUAAUUGAAUUUACAUGGGAUAAUCUGUAACGUCCACCUUUGGAAUAAAUUAGUCAUUAAACAAACAUGUGAGCCAAAGACAAGUGGGUUCAUCAUGAUUAGGCUGUUGGGCAAGGAUUAGGUAAAGGUAAAGACUUGUAAUUUGUCCCCAAAAUCCUCUAAAGAAAAUGUAAGAAUCCCUAGGGCUGAUA